UGGGGAAUUUUGGACAAUGGGCGCAAGCCUGAUCCAGCCAUGCCGCGUGUCUGAAGAAGGCCUUCGGGUUGUAAAGGACUUUUGUCAGGGAAGAAAAGGCUGUCGCUAAUACCGACAGCUGAUGACGGUACCUGAAGAAUAAGCACCGGCUAACUACGUGCCAGCAGCCGCGGUAAUACGUAGGGUGCGAGCGUUAAUCGGAAUUACUGGGCGUAAAGCGAGCGCAGACGGUUACUUAAGCAGGAUGUGAAAUCCCCGGGCCCAACCUGGGAACUGCGUUCUGAACUGGGUGACUAGAGUGUGUCAGAGGGAGGUAGAAUUCCACGUGUAGCAGUGAAAUGCGUAGAGAUGUGGAGGAAUACCGAUGGCGAAGGCAGCCUCCUGGGAUAACACUGACGUUCAUGCUCGAAAGCGUGGGUAGCAAACAGGAUUAGAUACCCUGGUAGUCCACGCCCUAAACGAUGUCAAUUAGCUGUUGGGCAACUUGAUUGCUUAGUAGCGUAGCUAACGCGUGAAAUUGACCGCCUGGGGAGUACGGUCGCAAGAUUA
rnacentral:rRNA from 1 species